UAGGGAAUAUUGGUAAUGUGCGAAAGCGCGAACCAGCAACGCCGCGUGCACGAUGAAGGCCUUCGGGUCGUAAAGUGCUUUUAGAGAGGAUGAGGAAGGACAGUACUUUCUGAAUAAGCCUCGGCUAACUACGUGCCAGCAGCCGCGGUAAAACGUAGGAGGCUAGCGUUAUCCGGAUUUACUGGGCGUAAAGCGCAUGCAGGUGGUUUUGUAAGUUGGAUGUGAAAGCUCCCGGCUUAACUGGGAGAGGUCGUUCAAUACUUCCAGUCUUGAGUGCAGUAGAGGGAAGUGGAAUUCCGGGUGUAGUGGUGAAAUGCGUAGAUAUCCGGAGGAACACCAGUGGCGAAAGCGGCUUCCUGGACUGUAACUGACGCUCAGACGCGAAAGCUAGGGUAGCAAACG
rnacentral:rRNA from 1 species